UUAAUCAUUAUUGUCGUCUCUUAAUCUGGUAAUAGAUGCAGUUAUAACUUCCAGUUGCUUAAUUAAGUUUAGC